GACGAACGCUGGCGGCGUGCCUAACACAUGCAAGUCGAACGGGGAUAUUUUAGUAGCAAUACUGGUUUAUCCUAGUGGCGGACGGGUGAGUAACGCGUGAGCAAUCUGCCUUUUGGAGGGGGAUACCGACUGGAAACGGUCGUUAAUACCGCAUAACGUAUAUGGACGACAUCGUCUGUAUACCAAAGGAGCAAUCCGCCGAAAGAUGAGCUCGCGUCUGAUUAGCUAGUUGGCGGGGUAAAGGCCCACCAAGGCGACGAUCAGUAGCCGGACUGAGAGGUUGAACGGCCACAUUGGGACUGAGAUACGGCCCAGACUCCUACGGGAGGCAGCAGUGGGGAAUAUUGGGCAAUGGGCGAAAGCCUGACCCAGCAACGCCGCGUGAAGGAAGAAGGCUUUCGGGUUGUAAACUUCUUUGACCAGGGAAGAAAAAAAUGACGGUACCUGGAAAACAAGCCACGGCUAACUACGUG
rnacentral:rRNA from 1 species